AAACAGCGUGCUUAAGGCUGGAUCAGUAGAUGACAAAGCUUGCUAUAUCAAUGAACCGACCGGUUAUGUGCGGUUUGCAGGUUUCUGCAUGUAAUAGCGGGGAGUCUGAGCUUGUUGGCGUUGGGAAUGUACCCAUCGGCUCACCUCGGUGACCGUGGGACCACAGACCCAAUCAGCUACUCGUUUCAACGAUAUUAACAGGGACCGAUGGAGCAGUCCGUAUUGUCAGACGAGGGGUGAAAUCCUUAGACUCUGACAAGACGAACAAGGGCGAAAGCACUCUGCUAAGAGGCCUUCAUUAAUCAAGAACGAGAGUGCAGGGAUCGAAGAUGAUCAGAUACCGUCGUAGUCUGCUACUGUAAACGAUGCAAACUAGGGAUCAGUUGAUGGGACAACAUGAUUCUGUUGACUCGGUUGGUACCUCCGCUUCUCUCUUAACGCGAAAGCUGUAAGUCUUCGUGUUCAGGGGGGAGUACAGUUGCAAGGCUGAAACUUAAAGGAAUUGACGGAAUGACACCACAAGGCGUGGAUGCUGCGGCUUAAUUCGACUCAACACAGAGAAUGUUACCAGAUCAUGAGGUUUGGAGGAUUGACAGAUUGACAGUUCUUUCUUGAUUCAGUUAAUGGUGGUGCAUGGCCGCUCCUGGUUGGUGGAGUGAUUUGUCUGGUUGAUUCCGUUAACGAACGAGAUCCCACCCCUUCGAUUUCAGUUAUAUCGUACGUAAUCAUUGGACGCUAGCUCAUGUGGUUCGUCCGUUGGUGAGAUCUAAGAUGUAUGCAAGGGGACUAUGUGUGUUGAUAACACAUUGAAGUCUGGGCCAAUAGCAGGUCUGUGAUGCUCCUAGAUGUUCUGGGCUGCACGCGGCAUACAAUGGUGAAAGCAGUAGGAUUGGUUCGGUCGAGCUCCUGUUUCGAAAGUAUUGGGAAAUCCCCUCAGAUUUGACUGUGGCUGGGAUAGACAAUUGCAACUGUUUGUCUUGAACUAGGAAUGCCUUGUAAGCACAUCUCAUUACAGUGUAUUGAAUGCGUCCCUGCCGUUUGUACACACCGCCCGUCGUUGCAAUCGAUUGGUUUGAUCGUAGAGUACUUCUGGAGAAACACCAGCAGGCUCUCUCGAGUCUGAUGAUUGGGUUGAAGUUGAGCAAUACUGUGGAACUAGAGGAUGCAAAAGUCGUAACAAGGUAGCCG
rnacentral:rRNA from 1 species